AGAAAGCCACGAAGCAGCACUUUGUAGAGAAGCGCCCUCUCUGGAGCUUCAGUAGUGUGCAACUGACAUUGAAUACUGCCAACAAAACACCUGCUAUUUGGCUUAACAAAACCUGCACUCACUAGAGAUUAAUGAAUCUGCUACAGAGGAGCAAGAAGCCCUAGGUGACUCGUUUACCCUUCCCCAGUAGGGUAUCAGCUGCCAAUUGCCCCCACUCUGUGAUGGCUUGUCCUUCUUCUCACCUUGUCAUCAAGCCAAGACUGCACGCUGUAGGAGCACAGAUGGCAGUGGAGGGGCACUGAACAAAAUUGUCUGACAUGGAAGUGCGGAUGAAGCAAAGGUGUGACAUUGAAUUCCUCCAUGCAGAAAAGAUUGCACCCAGUAAUAUUCAUCAGUGCUUGUUGAUCAUUUAUGGAGACCAAACAGUGGAUGUUAACACAGUGAGGUGAUGGGUGGUGCAUUCCAGCAAUUGUGAUAGCACCAUGAAAGACAAGAUAGAUUCCAAACAGCCAAGGAGAUUUUUACAAGCAUGGCAUGCAGACCAUUGCUGGUGAAAGUACAGGGCUAAUAAUGGUGACUAUGUUGAAAAAUAGUUUUUUCUUUUCUUUUUUUUUUUUAGCUGAGUAUUCACUCUAUUAAAUAGCAUUAACAUAAUCUUUUGAUGUAGUUUUGAUGAAAAUAAAUAAGAAGCAUUACUCUUAAAGUGGCCUAUGUAUAAUAUAAAACAUUGUCUGUUAUUAUCAUUGCUUCUUAUCAAAUGGCCAAUCACACUAUAAUUAUAGAUUGUAUCAUCUUGAUGCUACACAUACAUUUGGACAGCAAUUUUUCAGACUUUUUUUUUUAUAGUCAGUAUGAUUGUUCACGUUCAAUAAAAACUUUUAGUUACUGAAAGCAUCAAGAUGUGUGGCAAAAGCACAGAUGCAUGAAGUAUUUUCCUUGGAGGAGUUCUAAGGUUUUCACUACUUGGCAAAAUGAUCUGAGUCCAUCUUUCUGAAAUAGUUGAUGAAAUCUUUUUUGUUUGUUUUUUGUAGUAGUAGUAGUAGUAGUAGUAGUAGUAGUAGUAGUAGUAGUAGUAGUAGUAGUAUGGUGGCCUUGAGCAGAAGUGCAGAGGCUGUCAGAAUUUGCCCCAGCUUCUAAUUAUAGGUUUUUUUACAGUGUGCUGAGAUAAAGUGUCAUGUAAAUAUUGUGCAUAUGCAACUUUUUUUUUCACUUGGAAGAAAGCCAUUCUUUGGGAAACUUUACAGCAACAACAUAGGAUGAAUAAAUAUUUCCUCAAAUAUUCCUACUUCACGUAAUUUGCAAAGAUAAAAAGGUAAAUCCACCUGCCUUCCAAUUUAAUUGCUUUAAACAAAAUACUCAUUUAUUACUAAUUUAUUAUUGUGAAUAUGCAACUAUACUUGAAGCAUGUUUAAAAUAGUUUUACCGCUUUCUCGCUAGGCAU